rnacentral:ribozyme from 1 species
UUAGUACUUUGCUCUGUUCGUGGGCUAGGAUCCGAGACUCCGGUCGGGAUAUCACAGGCUCUCCUACCCAACUCCUAUUUCGUCCCGUCCUCGUCGUGUAGCGUGGUAACUUGCCCUAUCACAUAUCCAAGCUUGGGUACACGGGUUAGUCUGAGCUGAGUAGA